GGCGGGGUAGCUCAGUUGGUUAGAGCGCGGGACUCAUAAGCCCGAGGUCGUGGGUUCGAUCCCCACCUCCGCUACCA
rnacentral:tRNA from 2 species